rnacentral:lncRNA from 1 species
AUGUUUGGCCUGUGUCUCUUGGGUUUGGGGAGCUUGAGAGCUGGCAUGACAUGUUACAUCAAUAGGGCUGAACCAAAAAGAAAAAAAAAAGCUACAUCAGGAGAAAAUUAUUCGUAUAUCAACACUGGGCAUAAAAGGGCACAAGCUUAUCCUAGGCCAGAUAUGGUCCAAGCAGGAGGAAGCUGGCAAGGGGCCGUUUAUAAGUUCUGUCCAGGACUCCACAGACAGAUGGUCCCCAUAGAGCGGAGCUGAUCAAGGAAACACUGUCAACUAGAUGGAGGAGAAGACUUGUCCUGUGGACUGAAGGACAAAUUGGUCCCAUCAGGGUGCUUUUGAGGAACACAUGAAAGCUCUUUUCAGGAAAAUGGUCACUUUGAACAUCUGCCAAGCCCAGUGAGUGAUAGCAAAUCUCAAGGGUCCAACCGAAUGGUCAUAACUACUGCCCUAACCCCUCCCCAGAGGCCUCAGCACCAGCAGGUCAGGUAUAAGACCAUCCACACCCACACUCCAUAAGGUCUGAGGCAGCCUUGUACCAUGUGACCUGGCUCCACUGGGCAGAGCUGAUUGGUCUAGUGGGGCCACUUGACCCAAUGGCAGUCAACCAAUCAGUAGACAGCUCAGUGUGGUGAGGGAGCCAAUCUGAUUCUGUCUUAGGAGAUUGUGCUAGGAGCUCUUCUCAGGCCAGGGGUAGAGAUGGCGCUGAGCGGAUAUGGGAAGAGAAGCCACAGGAGUGGGUGUGGGAUCAGAGACUUGGGGCCUUGACAAGCCCCAAGAGGAGAGGACACAGGAUCACUGCGGCUGCAAGUGGUAAGGCAGAGAAAAGCUGUGGAGAGCAGGGAGGUUUUAAACAGAAUUGGCCAGAGCAUAUAAUUUUCAUUAUGGCUGUGGUUUGGUUUGGUUUGAGCCCCACUGGACAUCUACAGACUCGCUGCUGACUCCUGGAAGCCAGCCUGGGUCUAGUUCAGGUCAAGGGUCCUGGUUUCCUUGGUUCCUGUUCUUGCAUAUCAGUCAGGUUUGCCUAUCUCUCUUGCUGCGACCUCUUCCUAUACAACUGGAAACACCCAUUACUUGAGAUAACCAGAGCUGGACCUUGUUUUCUGCAGGCAAAGAACACAGCCCACAAAUCGAAAGUGAGAAAAAUCAUCAAAGAGCCAGAGCAGAGCCUGGCAUCAGCAGGAGCACAGCCUUGCUGCACCCUCAACAGACUUCAUGCCAGGCAGUUCUUGAUGCAUGUCCUCCAAUAAAAUCCUCCCUUACUGGGUUUUGUUUUUAUUAUUGUAAGAAAAAUGAACUAUUAAAGCAAACCAGAAACUGAUAGCUUAUGGUGUUUGGUGUCGAAUUUGUGGUCUCCAAAGGAGAAGAUUUAACUCCAGAACCAAAGAUGCAGUUUCAGUCACUCAGAGUUUUGCUCAGCAAAGAUAUUUAUUUAAAGUAAAAGGAGAGAGAAAGCUUCUGACAUAGAUAUCAGAAGUAAAGUAGAAAGAGUGCCCACUUCACUAGUUUAAGCAAGGCAUUAUAUACUUUUCUACUGGCUGCUAGGAAUAGAUUAAAAAUGCCUCAAGACCCAGAUGUUUGGAGUGAUUUUGUAUAACAGGUUCAGUUUCAUGAUGAUAGCUGCUGGGACAGCAUCUAUGACCUGCAAGAGAGAGGAGAGUGAGUCAGACUCUGUGUCAGUAAGCUGAGUACCCACUGUACAUUCAACAAGGAUGUCCAGCUCAGGGAGCUUCAUGUGCCUCAUAGCCUCCUUGACAAACUCAGGAGUCAACAAGUAUUGGCUGGGAAGUGCAGAGAGGAGGGCAGCAUGAGGAAGGAAUUGGUGAAUGGGGCAGCUGGCCAAUGUCAUACACAGGCCUGAAGAGGGAAAUUCUUCAGCCUGCGGGUUUUAAAGCAGACAGAUCCCCAGAGGGUGACUGUGGAAAGGACAGGAGAUGAAGCCAGACGGUUGAAAUCCUGGCUGAUCAACAGGAGCUCUUGAGAUACACAUAAAGUUGAACAGGAAUUGCUAUUGAACCUCAGUGAACUCUGACCUGGGUCCUAGCAGAGCCCUCACUUGUCUUCAGCUUUGCUGUAUCCCCAGCGCCCAGACCUGUUAAGGCUGCAAGUGCUGUCUGCACUUUCUUCCAUACAUGACUCACCUAUGAAAAGAGUGGUGAUGUUAUACUUUAAAUUAUUAAGAUAUCUUACUUAUAUUGCUUGUAUUAGAAAAAACCCCAGAAAAGUAAGAGUAAGUUUCAGUGUAAAUACAGAACAUGUAUCAAAUUUCACUCCUUCCUGAACUCCAAAUAAAAACAAAAUAAGACAUUAGUUUUAGGCAUAAUUCCACUAGGACUCAGAGAACACUAAAGGCUAAGGCAGCUGUGAAAAAGCUGAAUAUUAAUCCUAAAUACAUUAAGUCCCCUACAUAGUAACCUGGUCAGUUCUGAGAGCACGUUCUUACGUCCAAUUUGUUCAUAAGUUCAACAAAGUUAGC